rnacentral:rRNA from 1 species
UACGAACUGUGCGAACGUUAUUCGGAAUCACUGGGCUUACAGGGUGCGUAGGCGGCCUUUCAAGUCAGGUGUGAAAGCCCUCGGCUCAACCGAGGAACUGCGCUUGAAACUGAAGGGCUCGAGUCAGCUAGAGGUGCACGGAACUUCCAGUGGAGCGGUGAAAUGUGUUGAUAUUGGAAGGAACACCGGUGGCGAAGGCGGCUCUCUGGACCGGUACUGACGCUGAGACGCGAAAGCCAGGGGAGCAAACGGG